UACGGGGGGGGCAAGCGUUGUUCGGAAUGACUGGGCGUAAAGGGCUCGUAGGCGGUUUGUCGCGUCGGGAGUGAAAACCAGGUGCUUAACACCUGGCUUGCUUUCGAUACGGGCAGACUAGAGGUAUUCAGGGGAGAACGGAAUUCCUGGUGUAGCGGUGAAAUGCGUAGAUAUCAAGAGGAACACCUGAGGCGAAGGCGGGUUGCUAGGCUGACACUGACGCUGAGGCGCGAAAGCCAGGGGAGCAAACGGG
rnacentral:rRNA from 1 species